GAUCAGUAUACAUUGACCAUCACUUCCAUGUCAUCAGGUAGGACGCAAAGGUGAGUACUGGUCUAGCUUCUCUGGAGAUUACAGGUAGAACUAAAAGGUACAUGGGAUAUAGGUCAGAUAAGAGGAUGAACUUCCUUGCAAGGCUCUAUGAUCAUACAACCUUAGCAUGUCCCCGCAGAAAGGAACCAGAGGAAGAUUCUAAACCAUAGGUUUGAAAACAAGUUGUAGUCACUGCAUAACUUGAAUCCUAUGCAGGGAACCCCACUCCAGCAUCAUUAUCAAAUAGCCUGUCCUGCACAGAAAUGUAGAGCUAUGGCUCUGAGUCCAUGUCCCGCAAGGCAGCACUGAUUAGCCUCUUUGGGUAUCCUUCCUAGGCGCACUGUGCCCUCUAAUUGAUCCCCUUGGGUCCCCCUCCUGCUGACCUGCCAGAUCUCUGAGAAAAACUCUUCCACUUUCUUUAGCGUCUCCCUCGAGUCCCUGCAUCUCCGCAUCCAUUGCAAGAGUCUGCGUGGACCACGGGUGGCCGGCCAGCGGGCAGGGGGCGGGGAGGGCGCAGGCAGCGCCAUGGCCAGGGCCUUGACAGCUGUGGCCAUGUGGAGACACUGGCAUGGCUCCCCCUGCAGUCUGGUACUGUGCCCGGGGAACUGCCCUUUGUCUUUAGGCCAUAAGGUACACUAAGGCGGGACAUGUCAGUCCACAGGGCCACCACCUCUGGGGCCAGUGGACUCCUGCAGUCCCCGCAGGUGGUGCUGGGAAUUGAUGACGUGAACAGUGCCAGCAGGAGGCUUUUCAUUUCUCAUCAAGUUCAUUCAAUCGCUUUCCCUCCCCGCCCCCUCUGGGCAUUGAACCUAGGACCUCUGAGUAGUGGGGCAAGUGUUCUACCACUGAGCCACACCUCUCGCCCUAGGGGACCAUUUUUCAUCACUCCUUCUUGAGGCCCAAGAGUGUCUGGGCCCCUUUCUCUGGGUAAUAUUCCAGGCAGAGAAGGAGACUAAAUUGGACAAAGUGAGCACCUAGUAUGUGCCAGGUUUUAGGUCAGGUGCUUCUCUUCUAUGUUUCCCUUUCAUCCUCAAACCCCUGAGGCAGGUGUGACGGUCCCCUUUUAUAGAUGAAUGACCCAAAGCCUACAGGGGUUGGACACUCUUUGUGUAAGGGCACCUGGAGCACACAGCUGUCCCCAAGCCUUCCCCCACCUCCACCGCCCCUACAAAGCGGGAAGACCCAGAAAGCUGCACGGGGGAAAGGGGAGUAGGAGGAACAGGCUGGGAAGAUGCAGAGAGCUGCCCCCAGCCCCGAAACUGGCAGCUCGGCCUCCUGCCCAGAGGGGUGUGGCUCUGGAGGGACCUUCUGGGAAUAGAGAGAAAUUCAUUAGCAGAUGUGCAAGUCCCCAAGUGAUUACAGAUCGAUGCUCUGAGCUCCAUCAGCAGGGGGGUUAUGUUUAUUAUCUGACUUGGCCCAAAGGCCCCCCAGUCCCACCUCUCCAUACUUCUUUCCCCUCCUCCUGAGGUGCUCAGGCCCACUCCGUCUGCCUCCUCCCAGGCCUCUCUUCAAUCCACACAGCCUAGGCCAGUUCCCAGAACAGACACACUGGGGAUGGAAGUGGUGGGGAAUGAGGGGUGGCAGGGUGCCGGGAUUACCUCCUGAACAGCAGGCUCAUUUGCUAAUCUGAGCUUUGUUCAUUUCAGGGACCAAAGAGGACUUCAUUUCCAUUUUGGGAUAGGCCAGAAGGAAAGAGAGUGGGGAACUACAGCAGUAAAGAUAAAGGAUGGAUAAUAAGAGGAACUUCCAGUUGCCAUCGAGCUUUGAUUCCUGGACUGGGGUACACAUACUGCUUGGCUAUGGGAAAAGGGCUGGAAUGGAAAUGACACAGGCUGGGCCUGUAGCCAAUGGGAACUUCCCCGUAGAAGAUGCCACUUAAAAGUGUUAUUAAACCCUCAGGACUUUUAAAGUGGAGAACAAGGUAACUAUGAACACCCUUUAAAGUGAUAUUGAGAGUUCCCAAGAGACGUCCGUGUCUUUCUCACUUCCCCCUGUCUUGGGAUGGAGACAUGUGGCUCCUGCGACAUCCCCCUCCUACCAGUUUCUUCUCUGUCUUCCAGCCCAGCCCCUACCCACUAUGGGGCCUUGAGCCAACAAGUCCGCAUUGAUUCAGGGGCUUCUCUGGAGUAGAGACAGAGGGUGAGCCUGGCUCUGUUGAGUGGUUUUGGGGGAAGAAAAAAAAAAGCAGUAGUGACCAUGGGCCUCCACCUCCACCCAGCAACUUCCACCUUGGGCUGGGAACAUUCCUGGGUUCCAUUAUCUCCAGACUAGUAAAUUGGAAAUUAGGUGGAUUGCUAUUCCCACCAUCUUGGGAACCAACAGAGAAAUGUCACCCCAGCCUCUCCGCGCCUAGCUCUGAUGUUACUUCCCCAUCCAUGGGGCUUCCAGCUCUUCAGUCCAGGAGACUGCAGAAUGCCCUUGGCUGGCUGCCUCUGUGGGGAGUCCCACAUUCUGGAAGUCCUUCUUGAUGUCUGACAUGAAACCUUCUUGCUGCAACCAGCUCAUUUUUUUUCUCCUCAUUCUGCCCACAGAACUGUCAGAGGGAGUCUUCUUGUUUAAGUCCACGCUGUGAAUGGAACUGAGAAGGCUGAGAAGCAUAGGCUGGACUAGGAAGCUUAAAGAAACUCAAGAGUCAGACUGGGACUGUCACUAGGUGGUAAAGCACUUGCCUAGCAUGUGUGACGCAGUGAGUUCGAUCUUCAGGACCACAUAAAAAUAAAUAAAAUAAAGGGAUUGUGUCCAUCUACAGCU
rnacentral:lncRNA from 1 species